UUUUUUUAGGGACAUAGCCAGCUGAGAUAUUCAACACUUAAUGGAAAAUAACUUCGGAGUUUUGAUAUGAGAUUCACUGAAGAGCUAAAGGUCCUAUGGACAUUAUUGUUACAGUACUACUCAUACCCAGAUCUCUUUCAUCAUGAUCACCAGCAUCCAUGUCACGAGGACCCUUGACCAUCCUGAGGCCAGCAUCCGUGUCAUGAGGACCUUUGAGCAUCCCGUAGAGUGGUUCAUGUGGCAAAGAGCCAAGGCCUACCAGCAAGCAAGUGAGGUGAUGGAUGCACUGUGAUGUGGACUCAAAGUGGGCCCAGACAGCCUUAAUGACUGAGAUGUAAAGAGCUUGCCUUGCAAAUGAGAUGUUUAUCUGCAAGUUAUUAUUAAAUGGUGUCUAUGUAGCUGGGAGUAAGUGAAGAUUUGGUAAUUUGUCCUUAGUUUAGUAAGUGUAUAUUC